CUACGUGCCAGCAGCCGCGGUAAUACGGAAGGUUCGGGCGUUAUCCGGAUUUAUUGGGUUUAAAGGGAGCGUAGGCCGUGGAUUAAGCGUGUUGUGAAAUGUAGAUGCUCAACAUCUGACUUGCAGCGCGAACUGGUUUACUUGAGUGUGCGCAACGUAGGCGGAAUUCGUCGUGUAGCGGUGAAAUGCUUAGAUAUGACGAAGAACUCCGAUUGCGAAGGCAGCUUACGGGAGCACAACUGACGCUGAAGCUCGAAGGUGCGGGUAUCAAACAGGAUUAGAUACCCUGGUAGUCCGCACAGUAAACGAUGGAUGCCCGCUGUUGGUUCAUUAGGGUCAGCGGCCAAGCGAAAGCAUUAAGCAUCCCACCUGGGGAGUACGCCGGCAACGGUGAAACUCAAAGGAAUUGACGGGGGCCCGCACAAGCGGAGGAACAUGUGGUUUAAUUCGAUGAUACGCGAGGAACCUUACCCGGGCUUGAAUUGCAGACGAACGAUUCAGAGA
rnacentral:rRNA from 1 species